CGCGGGAUACCUCAGUUGGCGAGAGCACACGGUUCAUACCCGUGGUGUCGAUGGUUCAAAUCAAGUUCCCGCUC
rnacentral:tRNA from 1 species